UACGGGGGGGUGCGAGCGUUGUCCGGAAUCACUGGGCGUAAAGGGCGCGUAGGUGGCCUGAUAAGGGUGUGGUGAAAGUCCGGGGCUCAACCCCGGAUCGGCCGUGCCGACUGUUAGGCUAGAGUACUGUAGGGGCAGGCGGAAUUCCGGGGUGUAGCGGUGGAAUGCGUAGAGAUCCGGAGGAAGACCGGUGGCGAAGGCGGCCUGCUGGGCAGUUACUGACACUGAGGCGCGACAGCGUGGGGAGCAAACAGG
rnacentral:rRNA from 1 species